UGCAGAAUGCUGUAAUAUUUACCUAUCAACAAUGCACCAAGUAGGCCAAGCAGGGCAGCUGGAAGGCCAGGACUCCAAGGUGACUCUCUGAGAAGACAGCCAUGAUUGAGGUGACACCUACCUCCUGCACUUCACAGUGCUGCUCUCCAGAUUGAGCAAGGGAUAUGCUUGUCUGUGAUCUGCUAAGGAAUGAGUCAGGCAUUGUGACAUUACUGUCCUUCAUGCCACCAUACCUUUUUAUCAGAAGUUUCAGGGCUUUUUCUCAGAAGGAUACUACCGUGUGACACAGCGCUCCUACAAGUAGGACUGUCUGAAGCAGAAAUAAGAAGAACCAAGACCUCUGAAUGGGUGUUGUGGGUGACCACAGGUAAUUGCCUGAUUACAAUCGACUUCACUAUGUCUUUUCUUGUAAAUGCACCAUGCAGCUCCGCACCCUAUAAACCCAUUAAACCCCUCCACGGAGGCUCGUUACGCUGGUACUAAUCAGUACUUGGUAGCGCUGCCGCAUCAGGACCCAAAACGGCAGUCCGACCGAAGGCAACUCGCGUUAUUUAUUUAUUGUCAUAGAGAAGAGCUGACAACGAGCCGCUUAUCAUUUCAUUCGGGUACACUGACGCCCAGGAGGGCGGCGCUCACUCCGCCGCUCGGCCGGGAAAGGCGGCGGUGCCGGGCCGCGGCCUGCCCGCAGCCCAGGAUGCUCGGAGAAGCCGAGGCGGGCUCUGCGGAGGAGUGAAGGCCGCGGCGUGGCACUGCGUGCCCGGCGGGAGGCGGCCCGGCCGGGUCAGCCCGCCCCUGGCUCCGGCCCUCCGCCACCCCUUCCUGUCAUGGCGGCGGCCGGGUCCCGGCAGCGCGGUGAGGCGCGGGGGAAAGCCGCUAUCCCCAGGAGUUGAGCGCCCGGCGCCGAGAGCGGACGGCGCCCAGCCCGGAGUCGGCAGCGCUGCGCUGCGCUGCGCUGCGCUGCUGCGAGAGGUGACCGAGAUAUUGCUGAAGAACCUGCUUUCUGCUGCUUUCAUCAUUUAACUUCCUCGUGGGGUCUGCAGCAUGUCUUCCACCGGGUGCACCUCGAAACUUCUCCUGGUCCUCACUUCAUUGCUGCUGGUGCUGCCAGUGGUUGAAGCCAUGGACGCAGGAGAUACAAUUGCCUUCCUGCUGGGCCUCGCUGUCAGCAUCGUUGGAUUCUGUGCCUGCCUUGGCUUGUAUGCCAGGAAAAGAAAUGGACAGCAAUGAUUUCAAGAAGAUGCUCGGAUGAAAUGUGUUUCCUAACACUGCUCGGGGUUGAGGUCUGGAAUUUAAAACUGUGCUUCAAUUCUGGAUAACUUUUGAAAACUUGUAGUAGGUAAUCCUGCAAACCCUCUUACUGUGCAAUACAACAGAUCGAGACUGUACUCAGUAGAAGGGAUUUGUACGAUCUGUCAUGACAGUAAGAUGAUUUUACAUUGCUUGUGAUUAAAUAAUGCCUUAGAGAAGGGUGAGAACUGUUUGAAUGGGGGAAGAGAACCACAGAGUGGUUCACAGUAAACAAUUAUAAAUUGAAUAUAUUGAGGGAGACCUUCAGCAAGUUCUGCAAUUUUGGUUUCAGGGGUUAAUCAGGAGGAAGCAGCUAUUAGUCUUCCAGUCAGGAUGACAGAGCUUUGGAAAUACCUCUGAUGAGAUAACUAGCGAGCAGACUGCUUUGACAUGAGUGCAUAUGCUCACAUGGUUUGUAAUGACAGCACCUAACAGCUCACUUCCACUGUUACAGGGAUAAGAUUAGGGAGAACUAAGAAAACGUGGAAAACCACCUUCUAUUUAUUUUUAUUUUAGAACAUGCCUCUUCUGUAGCCUGUGUUCUUGUUACCAGCAUGGGACCAUUAUUUUACUUCAACAUGAAUUUUGCACGUAAAGCUACGUGAAUCAAAUAAGGGGUAUGUUUUGUUGUCACUUCUUUAUUUUCAGCACUAGGUUUUCCUUUAAACAUGCUGAGUAAAGUGUUGUGUUUUGUUUUGUUUUUCUUUUGUUUGGUUUUCUUUUUCUAAAAAUGAAGAUUUAGCUAUUUUAGUGAGGAAUUAUAUGUCAUGUUUCUGAAUUAGGGAGUUAUUAAAUUUUUUCAGGACAACUGUGCACAUUUCUUUUUCAGUAUGGAAACAACUUGUUUUGUUAAAAUCCUGGGUUUAGUAGACAAAUCUGUUGUUCUUGAGUGUCUUCCUCAUGACAAACUUGGUGUUGUUAGUUAAACAUUUAGGCUUCUUAUCUAAUUGAUACCUAAGAGUUCCACAGAAGAAUAGGACCAAAAACAAAGUAAAAAAUCUUGAUGCAAAACUAUUCAUGCUCAGUCAAACAGUGUCUUAUAUGGCUGAAAGAAUCUACUCAGUAGCAGAUCUAGAACCCAUUUCUUUCUUUUAGUAGCAGUGUGGAAAUGGCACAGCCAAGAAUGUCAACCACAAAGCCCUCAGGCUUAUGAGGAUGUUCUCACUGUCAUCUUAGUAGGAGCACAUGAAAGCAAAUAACAGCAGGAAAAAAAAAGCAGAAUAAGCAGCACGGGAAGAUGAACUCUCCGCAGUUCACAAAAUUUUGUUCUGAUCUUGUGCUGUGGGCACUGCCACUCUUGCUAGAAAUCUUGUCUUUUAUCCUUCAAAGUUGGAGAGAAAAGGUGAAAUGUGAUGCAAAGUUACGUGUGUUGAUACUGUUCCUCCGCUUUCUCUGUUAGUGUCUCUGUUCAGUAGAGCACAAAGCAAUGGCUAGAAUUGUGAAGUAGGUUUUACAUAAGUAAUCGGAUGGGCAGAUCAUGUUCUACAAAUUCUAAGAUUUCUAUAUUCCAUAUACCAUAUGUGGCUGUUUUGACUUCUCUCUCCAGCUUCUGAGCAGACAGAAACCCUGUUUAUUUCAGUCUCGCAAUUGUGUCUAUGUCUGACUGUUAAUGGAGGAAGGUAUAAUGAAAGUGCCCAAAAUAUUGUGGGGUUGAAACUACGGGACUCAACCUAGCAGGCCUCAGCAAUGCUGGUUUCUGCUCUCAAGCUACUGGAAUGAUAAUGAUGACAAAGUUGCUGUGAUGAAAUGCAAGCCUUGCCAAGUAGCUCUUCUGGUACGCCUUUUUGUGGCUUCCAAAGGCCACAAUGGGACAGCCCUAAAAUGAGCUUUGAAUGGUAGUGUCACCUUCAAAGUCCGGUACAUGAUUUUUGAAUGGAGUGGAUGCAAGCGCAUAUCAUGUGUGAUCUUUUGUGUUGGAGCCUGUCUAAACUGUUAUUACCCUUCAAAAACAACAAAACACCCAACAGGUCAGUAUGCUUUGCAUUUCCACAAAUUUUAGAAGUCUGCCAAUUUUUCAGUAGAAUAUUAAAUAAUGCUUUCAAUAGUAGAAAUUUUAUCACAAGCAGCCUUUCUCAGACUCCUUUUUCAUCAAUUUGGAAAAGAUCCCUGGCAGUAGUUUCACAGGAUUGUGCAACACUUUCACUGUAGGAGUACAAAAUUUUUGUGGAAUAAUUAGCAUCAGGGUAUAGAGAAAUGAGGAACUGUGUUCUUUGCCUGAAGCUGUACGUACUUUUUUGAAAGGUGUUUGCACAGCAUAAUGGCAUUGUUUCCUGGGUUCUGACAGAAGCUUUUAUUGUUGAAGACUUGCAUUUGUCAGUUUCUUGAGUGUAAAAUUUGAUAUCCCUGUUUUUCUUCUGCUUUAAUAAACUUUCACAUAUUUGAUUUGUUA